UUUGGUUAAGGGCAAGAGAAAAUUUGACCUGUUGAAGGUUUUCCAAACAAAACGUGCCAACUUCCUACGUUACCAUCUUGGUAAGAAGACACCAACUUUUACUAAAUUUUAUUUACUAUACUUCUCACUGAAAAUACCAAUGAACGAAGAGAACAGUCCCAUCCGAAGGAGAUGUUCAUUUGCAGUCAUCUUAGCUGUGGGCAGCACAGUCCCCCUACUGCCGCCUUAGGUGUGACCAACCAAAUUCCCACAAGUCUUGGGAUUUGUGCAUCAAAAUUGAGACCUAUUCUCCCCCUGCAAAAGUCUUCGUGAAUCCUGCCCAGGGUAAAACCCUCAGUCCCUGCAUUCCAUUUCGAAUGACCCUUCCCAUGGGACCUAUCACGUCCUCCCUAGGACUCCAGUGCAGAUUCUACCCCGGAAAGAAUUCAUAUGAAGACUCUUAAUCAGUUCUGUGGAGAGGCCCACAAGAGGAGAAACUGAGGCCUCCAUCAACAUCCAGCACCAACUUGCCAGCAAUAGAGCUGUCCACACUUGACUUUCUGUAUAGAAGAUCUGAAGAACGGACUGCUCUGAAUGUGCAGUGUUUCUCAAG